ACUCCUACGGGAGGCAGCAGUGGGGAAUAUUGCACAAUGGGCGCAAGCCUGAUGCAGCCAUGCCGCGUGUAUGAAGAAGGCCUUCGGGUUGUAAAGUACUUUCAGCAGUGAGGAAGGUGGGUAUGUUAAUAGCAUACUCAUUUGACGUUAGCUGCAGAAGAAGCACCGGCUAACUCCGUGCCAGCAGCCGCGGUAAUACGGAGGGUGCGAGCGUUAAUCGGAAUUACUGGGCGUAAAGCGCAUGCAGGUGGUUUGUUAAGUCAGAUGUGAAAGCCCGGGGCUCAACCUCGGAAUUGCAUUUGAAACUGGCAAACUAGAGUACUGUAGAGGGGGGUAGAAUUUCAGGUGUAGCGGUGAAAUGCGUAGAGAUCUGAAGGAUACCGGUGGCGAAGGCGGCCCCCUGGACAGAUACUGACACUCAGAUGCGAAAGCGUGGGGAGCAAACAGGAUUAGAUACCCUCGUAGGCUCUGC
rnacentral:rRNA from 1 species